rnacentral:tRNA from 1 species
GCCCCGAUAGCUCAGUUGGAUAGAGCAGGGGACUUCUAAGCCCAAGGUCGAAGGUUCGAUUCCUUCUCGGGGCA